rnacentral:lncRNA from 1 species
AUUUAGUGCCAAGUUGACUCACACGUCAGCGCUGGGACCUGUACGGGUGCGUGGACGUGUGCGUCAGGCGGUUCCCGGAUGUACUGAAACAGAAACAUGGAACUGGUUAUGGUAGAAGUGCCGACCAAUCACGUUGAGAGAUACACAACCAACUCUACGUCUAACACGCAAAUGCAGCCACUUGGUUAUUCCAUUGCCUGCCCUUCCACAAUUCAACGAAAGCGUCAGGUGCGUUUCUCAGCACGCCAUGACAUCAUCCUUCUGAAGGAGGUUAUUGUUCAAAACCCGUUUGCCUCCAAAGAGCCAGGACGGAUGUGGGCCCGCGUAGGAGAGAAUAUCACAGCUGCUCUGCAAGAAGAAAACUUUGAAGUAGAUGCCAGGAGGUGCAGAGAGAGGACCAUGUUGCUGUUGGACUAUUACAAGAAGCAGGAUUAUUCCAGUCUGCGAAGGUUUGGAACAGAGAGGUUAUAUGCCCAAAAAGAAGAUCUGCUACAUGAGGUUCUGGAGCUGGAGGCUGAGAAAGGGCUGUUGGCCUGCAGUGAAGGGACCAAGUACCACGAUGAUGAAAAAAGAAACAGAAGCAUUGAAGAACUCCUCCUACCAGAACAGGAUAAACCCAUCAUUUCUAUCACACAAAUACCUGCUGCAGAGCCAGAAAGGGAUGGAGAGGAAAUGGCUGCGCCCACAGCGAAGCAGCCGUGUCAGUGUUGCUGCCAAACCUACUCUGAGAUCCUCAGCUUUCUAGAGAAACGUGCAGAGGCAGAGCAACGACUGCGAGAAGAGGAGCUUUCACUGCGCAGAGAAGAACUGGAAAUCCAGAGGAGUAAAAUUGUUCUGGAGAGAGAACAUCUUGGUGCAGAGAGAAAAGAGAGGGAGCGGAGAUUUGAGCUUGAAAGCCAAGAGAGGCAGGUUAUACUGGACUUGUUAAAAGAGAAGGUGCUUAAAAGCUAAGAAAAACAUCGCAUCUGGAUUCCAUGCAGGUGUUCUCCCUCUCUGAGUGUGUAUGGGCCAACAAGUGCAAAAAAAGGAUCUUUCAAAAAGAGAAGAAGAGAACAAUACAGGAAGUGAAAAGAUCUCAGCGUUUAAGGACUUUCCUUUGAUGGAGAACAAAAUGUUUCAUAGACAUUGUUGAAUGGUGGCGCUACAGGCUUGGCCCAGAAUAAUCUCUAGAUCUUAAAGUGCCCAGCUUUCACACUUUGUGAGAAUGUUUUGUGUCAUAGGCCAUAUAUAGUUGAGCAUUACAGGUGCUACAUUAUAUUUAAUGAAUAGAUUUAUGGAUUGCACAGUUUCCCUGCAGAAGGAAGAUUUUAGACAGUUAGUCCUGAUUUAUCCUACUGUACCAUGUUAGUUGUAGAUGGGGAACAACUGAAACUCAGUAAACAUUUCUGUCAGAACCACAACAUCCACACACAAAAAAAGAAAAUGUGUUUAUCCUGCUGUAUUUUAUUAUGUAAUACUUAGAAUUUCCUGUAAAAUUAAGCUGAUUAGUGCCUAUAUUCAGUAUUACCAACAUAAUGAGUCAACUGUGCUAUGCAUCAAAUAAUAUGUCCUUCCAUUUACCUGGGUCUACUGGUGCUUUUCUCCAGCUAUAAAUGAGCACUAGGUGGGUACACCGUGGACAGGGCACCAGUCCUUUAAAUUAUUAUUUAUUACUUAAUAUAUGUACCUGAUGAGUAAAGUAGCAACACAUUUUUAAUAAAUGCUUUAUGCUAAGAGGAAUUAUCUUGCUA